rnacentral:rRNA from 1 species
AACGGAGGGGGCAAGUGUUACUCGUCAUAAUUGGGCGUAAAGGGUGCGCAGGCUGUUUUUUAAGUUUUAAGUAAAAGGUUAAUUUUAAAGGUUAACAAGGUUUAAAAUACUGAAAAACUAGAGUAGGAAAGAGGGAAAUGGAACUUUUACAGUAGAGGUGGAAUUCUAAGAUAGUAAAGGGACGACCAAAGGCGAAGGCAAUUUUCUGGGUCCUAACUGACGCUGAAGCACGAAAGCGUGGGGAGCAAAC